UACGAAGGGGACUAGCGUUGUUCGGAAUCACUGGGCGUAAAGCGCACGUAGGCGGAUUUGUAAGUCAGGGGGUGAAAAUCCGGGGCUCAACCCCGGACUUGCAGUGGGUACGGGCAGACUAGAGUGUGGUAGGGGGAGACUGGAAUUCCUGGUGUAGCGGUGGAAUGCGCAGAUAUCAGGAGGAACACCGGUGGGCGAAGGCGGGGUCUCUGGGCAGUAACUGACGC
rnacentral:rRNA from 1 species